AUAUUUUUCACUUUAUAAAUGUCCUUCCAAACUCCAAACAAUUAUGUGUUUCUGGCUAAAUGCAAUUAUAUGAGUGUGGGUGUAAGCAGGUGCUGUUCUACGCACUGUACCUGGAAUGCAUUCUUAAUGAGUGGAGCUUAUAUAGUAUUAAGAGCCUUAAGAGUUCUUGUAUUGAUUUGAUGCAGAAAAACAACAGCAACAGCACACUGAAUUAUACUUCCAGCUUUAACAUAACCAACAUUCACAAGUAGAAAACAACAAAGAUGCUGCUAAAAUGGUGCUGUAAACAUUUUCAGUCAAUGUGAACAAGUUUCAUUUGAACACAAAGUUGUUGGUUUUUUGUCAAGGCUAAUAAACCUAGGUAGGAAUUGGAUUACUAUCUGCCAGUCUACAGUAUCAGUUACCAAAAAAAACCUUGCUACAUGACAAGGACUUAAAAACACACUAACAGGUAUGGUUGAUGGCAUAAAGUCAAUUAGAGAAAUCCAGAUUCCUGAGAUCCCACCCGUACAACCCCUCAGCUCUCUGAAGCGUGCUGUUAGUGACAUGAGUCGUCAGGGAAACGGCUCCGUCUGUGUCAUCUGUUGCUCAACCCAAACCACAGUCUGCCUCUCUGCUGCCCCAGCUACUUGGAAGAGUAGAGAUCUGGCAGUGCACACCCCAGACCCAGCUAAUAUCAGUUUGACAGUUUGUACCCCCACUGACGAGGCUGAGAGGAGCAGACAGGCAGAUGGUUGUUUUUUUCAAUACUUCAACCAAACCAGCCUCACCUCUGGUCCUGACAAGUAUCAAUGCUCAGGAAACAUUGCUUACCUGGCAGGAUAAGUGUGACACUACAAAUGUUAUGUAAUUGGGUGUCUUAGGUGUGUGGCGGGCUUGGGAAGGGCUACGUGGCUAUGUGUCCAACAGGUAGAACUAAUCGAAUAAAGUACACACUGUUUUUAAGGCAGGGAACAUGUGCGAGUCAGUCAGUGGACUUUUUAACGUUGUGUUUUUGUAUGGUGGCCUCUGCAUAGAAAACAAUACUCCGUCCUUACUUUUACACUUGUGUUUUGUCUGAGUGCAGCAUACAGCAAGCCUUUACUGUUUGUACACAUUGUUCAAAAUCAUAAAAUUGUUAUCUCCCACGGGCAUAGCAUGACCACUCCUUCAAGUCUGGGUGGGAGGGGGAGGGUAUUUAGCUGUUUUGUGUUUGAGUUUUUUCAAAUGUUGAACUUCCCCUUUUAUCUCAUUGUGUGUGUGUGUGUCUGUGUAGUGUAGUGCUUGGAAGCUUUUGUAUGUUUAUUAUUAUCUCUUUUCUAUUACUCAGUGUGCUCCUCAUUCUGUGAAGAAAGUUAUCAACAUGUGGUAGUCACAGGUUAUUAUUAUUACGACAGGAAUGCAAUAGCGUUUCACAUUCAGUUUGUUUUUAAUGCACACGUCUUAAGGUUAGGCUGACACUGGGCAUAUGCAGAUCUGAGGCCAAGAGGUACAGCCUCCUCAUAACCCCCCGCCCUCCCCCGCUACUCCAAUUACACCCUGACAUUCAGCGCAUUAGCUCUGAAGGGCUGAGCAAAAGGCCGCACAGAAUUCACAGCCAGUUUCCAAUCUGAAAUCCUAACUCUGCAAGGACUUUGUCAGUAGAUGUAAUAUUAAUGGGAGAAGUGAAGACAGGCUGUAGAUGGCAGAUAAUCCAGGAGGAGCACUGUGCUACUGGAGCAUGCAGCUACAGCCAUUGUCUGCUCCUGUAUGCAUAGGCUUGGUAGGAAAUAGGUGAAAUUGAUUCUAUGUUAGAGCAAUUACACACAAGGGAUUUAUUAGUGGAUGGUGUUAGGUACCACCACAUCAAUUCUGGUGCGAAAGACAAAUAU